GAUCANCCGUACUCCGAAUGCCUCUAGAUUAAAGUUUGAUCAUGGGCUCAGACUGAACGCUUGUCUGUGACAAGCCUAACACAUGCAAGUCGAACGGUAGCACAGAGAGCUUGCUCUCGGGUGACGAGUGGCGGACGGGUGAGUAAUGUCUGGGAAACUGCCUGAUGGAGGGGGAUAACUACUGGAAACGGUAGCUAAUACCGCAUAACGUCUCCGGACCAAAGUGGGGGACCUUCGGGCCUCAUGCCAUCAGAUGUGCCCAGAUGGGAUUAGCUAGUAGUGGGGUAACGGCUCACCUAGUGCGACGAUCCCUAGCUGGUCUGAGAGGAUGACCAGCCACACUGGAACUGAGACACGGUCCAGACUCCUACGGGAGUGCAGCAGUGGGGAAUAUUUGCACAAUGGGCGCAAGCCUGAUGCAGCCAUGCCGCGUGUAUGAAGAAGGCCUUCGGGUUGUAAAGUACUUUCAGCGAGGAGNGAAGGCGGUAAGUGUUAAUAACCUUAUCGAUUGACGUUACUCGCAGAAGAAGCACCGGCUAACUCCGUGCCAGCAGCCGCGGUAAUACGGAGGGGUGCAAGCGUUAUUCGGNNUUACUGNGGNCGUUUAGGCNCACNCGGGNGGUCUGGUCCAGGUUCGNGUUUUAAAUUCCCCCGGGGCUCCAACCCUGNGGACUUUGGCUUUCGAAACUUGGCACGGCUNAGUNUUUGUUCNACGCGGGGUCUCACACUUCCACGCUUUCCGGGNAAAUGCGUUAGACNCUCUGGCGGCAACCNGGUGNGNAAGGNGUNGCCCCCUGACAAAUGGGGUCGUNNAAUGUGUCUGUGNUNGCCGGGUGUUAUUNCNCGUUGACUGCCGACAAUAGUGUGUUUGUUGUCCCUCGGUGGGCCCUCUGUAUUUAUNUCCGGGGGCGUCCGGGAAUAAUUUGGNUCCNGGCGGGUUUAUAUC
rnacentral:rRNA from 1 species